AAAAUUUUUUUGUACGCGGGUUUCACUUAUUACAAGAAAAAAAUGAAGACUGCAAAUGGCAUUGUUUGUUUCUUUUUGCUGAUCCUCAUUAAACCUAUUGGAAAUAUUAUGCGCUUUAGAGAACGGAGGGACGAAAUAUAGCUAUUCUGUAAACGGAGGGGAACUUGUGUGCAUUCAUGUACAACCCUGUAUUGUGGAUCCUUGCUGUGCAGCCUCAACCUCAGAUAAGAAUUAACUUGGCCACUAGGAGGUGUCCCAGUUCAUCCUACUCCCAUCCGACUUUACAUUUUUAAUUUUGGAAGUAUUCACAAUCCUGAUCGAGCUUUCCACUUAAGACGAGGAUUUCAUAGUGUAGUAAUAGACGAGGAUUAUCAGUUUAUCAUUGGGAUAAUUAUAUAUGGAGAUUUUUGUCCGUUAUUGAUUCCAAAACUGGAUCGUCCUCCCGACUAUAAUCAAAUGGACGUAAGGAACUAUCUAAAAGUGAAAGUACGCGUCAAUGGUAACAUUGCGAACGUGACUGUACCGAUAUCUGAUGAGGAUCCUCUGAAUGAGCGAUUUGGCAAACCCGUCCGUUCGAAAUACAUAAUUCGUGCUGAAAUACCUCGUUAAUUAAAUUUUAUUAUAUAAAUAAUUAUAGAUGGGCAGUAGAGUGAGUCAAAAAAAAUUAUGCAAAUCAAACUGGGAGCUGUGUAGAAAAG